ensembl:lncRNA
AGAGCUGUAUGUUUUUAUUUUUACUAGGAUUCCACAGAAUGCGCAAGUAUGUACACAAUGUGUGCUCUGCUGCCUAACCUUGAUCAGAGAGCAGAAUCAACAUGCAGCUUGGUUAAAAUCAUCAUUGUUCUGGAUGAAAGCUAGAAGAUUUGAUGUCAAUAUGAAGGGAGGGAGCUUAGAAAUCAGAACGUAAAUAACAAGAUUCCCUAAAUUCUUGCAUUUUGCCAGUCAACUGACAGACUGAAAUACCCGGGCAAAAGUGAAGUGUUCAGGCUGAGUCUUCUCUUGGACCAUUCAUGAAUAAUUAUUGCUGGAAUACACACACACACUUACUGUGUCAGGCUAAUGGUCUCUCUAGCCUCAUUUUUAUCUCUAACAUGCCUCAUACUUAAACAGGUGUAUAGCAGAAAAUAGGGUUGCCAAUAAUCUGGUACAAGGGAUACUGAUAUACUGGACUCUCAGCCAACAGAAAGGUAAGACUCUGAGCUUUCUUUUUUUUAAGGCAAUUCUCUAGCCCUCCUAGAAAGAAAGUUAUGAAGCAAAACGUGCAGGUAACCUUCUAAACAAUUCUUGUGAUAUAAGCCAGCUUGGCUGCUCCUGCCAGUCAAUGGUUUUAGCCAAUGAGUGAAGUCAGAACUGUGAUUGACAAGUGAGUUGUUUGGACAGCAGGCCAUAGGAAUUCUUGGGAUCCUCAAAAGCUACUGUCCCCCCCCCCAUUUAGUGCAUUUUUCCUGUUUCAUUCUUAUAUUCAAGUAGUCCACGAUAUCUCCAUAGUUUGCCCUUCUUCUCCCCCUAGCAACCAGGAUGCAUCUUUCCUGUGAUGGGUUCGUCUGAGAUCAAGCACUCCCUAGCGGCUGAGUUGUGCACCAUCUCAAAAUACUCCAAUUCAGCAAGAUAUAACCACAUAGCACAGCAGGGACACAUCUAUACAGCUGAUGCAGGCACAGAUCCACAUUUGGAUGCAUAUUUUAAAAUCUACUGCAGUGCUCAGUUGAGCCCCACUGGAUGUGGACAGGAAUAGACAUCCAUAUCCAGGAUCACUAGGUUUUGAGUGAGGCUAAUGGCCAGAGCUGGAUCAGAGCAAUAAGGAUAUUUUCUGUAUUGUUUUCUAGCCCAUUUUUAUUAACACAAGCCCUAACACUCUAUUUCCCAUUUUGGUGACAAAAACACAUUGUGCAAUGCUACCACGUUAUGGAAAUUAUUCCAAGAUCUAUUCAUUGAAUACCGAUAGCUCAUUAAGAAGCCCAAUAGGGUGGGAGAUAAUUUGUUCUUGUUGUUCCUAACUUUACACACUGGGACUCAAGUCUUGUAAGGACCAAACUAGACAUGAAAUGAAGUUGCACUUCUUUUUCCCCUAAUGGAUUGGAUUUAUUUAUUUUUUUUAAAAAAAGGAAGAGGAGCCUCUGAGGCUGUGAUCAGGAGACAAAGGAGUGGGGAGAGAGAAAGAGAGAGAGAGUUGCUUAACCCUUUCCCAUAAGGCUCUAUCGUAUCAAUUGUGGAGGAAAAAAAGCCUAAUGGAAGAGCAAUUUAUUCAUUUGUCCAAUAUAUUUAUGAGGCGCCCUAGAAAAUAACUUUUCUAGGCAUCACAGAGGAUUAUAAAAUGUAAGAAUAACAACCUACAGCAGCCCAAAAACUCAUGAUCAGGGGUAUUUUUUUAAAAAAAUUAGGUCUUCACAGGUUCACUUCUAGGUUUGUGGUUAUCAUUGGGGGGGGGGGGCUCUGACAUCAAGAAAGUCCCUAACUGCCCCACAUGGUUUCCUACAUACACUCUAUAACAUCUGGGAGUGCUUUGGUUCACCUAUCCCAGCACCCAAUUAUUUAAUGCCUCUCUCCCUCCACACACCAUGGAUUCAAAUUCCUCUUUAAAACAUUCCUCUUCCAUAGAAGUCAUUAGCUCAGCCUUUCCCAAACCUCAGAUUUCCUGUCAGUGGCUGGGGCUGGAGGGCAUCAGUAUGGGGGAAGCCAGUGUUAGUUCAUCCCUUUAGCUUUUGUCUCCCAAUAAAACUAACCCUAAGCAAGUGCAACCGCCCUUGCACGUUUCCUCCAGUUACGAUUGGCUCUGUCACGAUCUCCUCCCACGGUUCUCACUCCCCUGGUUGAAAUUUAGACGUGGUGG